rnacentral:lncRNA from 1 species
CCCUGAUGCUCCAGCUAGCUGAACAGGUGGGGAGUCUGCCCUAGAUACACCCUUAAGUUUUGAGAAUAACAAAGCUAGACAAAACACAAUGCAAGCUUCCAGACCUUCACAGUCCUCUGUUCAGUACUCCAAACCUCAGAGCCCUGAGACUCAUGGUGUCUAGGGUCUUCAUAUUAUAUCCACCCCUGUCUAACCUCCGAGGAGAAGGCCUAAAUUUUUUCAGGGCUUUUUCCUCCCUCUUUAUCAAAAGCUACUCAUUGGCUCCUCAUCCUCGCUCUCAGGAAAGCAACACUAGGGAAUAUACUCUCAUCAGGGUGGCACAUCAAAGAACUGUGGGAUCUCCCUUGCUGCCUCCCACCUAGAGGUUAGAAAGCUUCCCUGGGAGCUGGAAGUUCUCACAUGACAGAGUUCUAGACCAUGAAAGCAAAGGAGAUGUCUGCUAGGGAUUUUCUGGAAAAUCUUUUGCUUUCUUGACAUAAGUAACAGGAGCAUUUGAUGCCAACUCCUUCCUUCUUUCUGCCUUUAAUAGUUGUGUGACACCUGGAGUUGCAGUAGCUAUCUUGUGGCCUCAGGUGGCGGUCGUGAGGAUCAAGAUGCUAAAGAUGAUGAAGAUGAUGUUGGAGCCUGGGUCCUUGUUUAUGCUGUUGAGAUGACAUAGACUGCCUGUGUCUGAAAUGGUUGUGCAUAAACAAUAAAUG